GGGGGCUGAGCGAGUGAGCUGCUCUGCCACGGGAAUGCUGUGCGAAGCUGCGUUUCAGCGUUUCCAAGAUUAUUCGACUUUGCGAGCCUAAAAAUGGGUGACCAAGGAAGAUGUGGCAGCCAGCAGUGGCCAUCACCUGGAGGGAGCUGUGGCAGAGGUUAGCAGAGGAAAAUGGACCAUGUUAUACAGGUGGCUUAACUUACUGUUGUUAUGCAUACAGUUGUGGAGGAAUGUUACCUUCAUUCCACAAGAAUCCUGGUCAAGGAGAAGAGCUGAGAAUUGUUAAAUAUGCAAAACUUAAUUAGUCCUCAGUGUGUAGACAAACCACCCUAAGCCCAGUCACAGGAAUUUGAUGGUCUACAGACUGUACUAUCCACUUUGUACAAGCUGAGAUGUUUCUUGGUCAUGACUUCUGAGGACUCACAGCCUUCCCGGGCUCCCAAGAUCCAAGGAUGCCCUCUUACCUUGUCUUGAAGCAUCUAAAGGAAACUGGAAAGUACAGUGAUACAUGAACAAU